rnacentral:rRNA from 1 species
AUUGAACGCUGGCGGCAGGCCUAACACAUGCAAGUCGAGCGGCAGCGCGGGGCAACCUGGCGGCGAGCGGCGGACGGGUGAGUAACGCGUAGGAAUCUACCUGGUAGUGGGGGAUAGCCCGGGGAAACUCGGAUUAAUACCGCAUACGUCCCAAGGGAGAAAGUGGGGGAUCUUCGGACCUCACGCUAUCAGAAGAGCCUGCGUAGGAUUAGCUAGUUGGUAGGGUAAAGGCCUACCAAGGCGACGAUCCUUAACUGGUCUGAGAGGAUGAUCAGUCACAGCGGAACUGAGACACGGUCCGGACUCCUACGGGAGGCAGCAGUGGGGAAUAUUGGACAAUGGGGGCAACCCUGAUCCAGCCAUGCCGCGUGUGUGAAGAAGGCCUUCGGGUUGUAAAGCACUUUAAGCAGGGAGGAAGGCUUUGUGGUUAAUAACCAUGAGGAUUGACGUUACCUGCAGAAUAAGCACCGGCUAACUCCGUGCCAGCAGCCGCGGUAACAC